GUGCUGUGAGCUCGAUGAGUAGGGCGGGACACGUGGUAUCCUGUCUGAAUAUGGGGGGACCAUCCUCCAAGGCUAAAUACUCCUGACUGACCGAUAGUGAACCAGUACCGUGAGGGAAAGGCGAAAAGAACCCCGGCGAGGGGAGUGAAAAAGAACCUGAAACCGUGUACGUACAAGCAGUGGGAGCCCCACCACUAAGCCAGUGGUGAACUCCACAUACGCAUCCUUUGCUGAGGAUACGGUUAACGGAGCGAAAGCGACGUUCAACCUCAAAAGAAGCAGAGGGGGCUUAGUGGUGGGGUGACUGCGUACCUUUUGUAUAAUGGGUCAGCGACUUAUAUUCUGUAGCAAGGUUAACCGUAUAGGGGAGCCGCAGGGAAACCGAGUCUUAACCGGGCGUUAAGUUGCAGGGUAUAGACCCGAAACCCGGUGAUCUAGCCAUGGGCAGGUUGAAGGUUGGGUAACACUAACUGGAGGACCGAACCGACUAAUGUUGAAAAAUUAGCGGAUGACCUGUGGCUGGGGGUGAAAGGCCAAUCAAACCGGGAGAUAGCUGGUUCUCCCCGAAAGCUAUUUAGGUAGCGCCUCGUGAACUCAUCUCCGGGGGUAGAGCACUGUUUCGGCUAGGGGGCCAUCCCGGCUUACCAACCCGAUGCAAACUGCGAAUACCGGAGAAUGUUAUCACGGGAGACACACGGCGGGUGCUAACGUCCGUCGUGAAGAGGGAAACAACCCAGACCGCCAGCUAAGGUCCCAAAGUCAUGGUUAAGUGGGAAACGAUGUGGGAAGGCCCAGACAGCCAGGAUGUUGGCUUAGAAGCAGCCAUCAUUUAAAGAAAGCGUAAUAGCUCACUGGUCGAGUCGGCCUGCGCGGAAGAUGUAACGGGGCUAAACCAU
rnacentral:rRNA from 1 species